rnacentral:rRNA from 1 species
GCGAAAGCCUGACGGAGCGAUGCCGCGUGAGCGAGGAAGGCCUUCGGGUCGUAAAGCUCUGUUGUCAGGGAAGAAGGACUCGGGUUCGAAUAGGGCCUGAGGGUGACGGUACCUGACGAGGAAGCCACGGCUAACUACGUGCCAGCAGCCGCGGUAAUACGUAGGUGGCAAGCGUUGUCCGGAUUUACUGGGUGUAAAGGGCGUGUAGCCGGGAAGGCAAGUCAGAUGUGAAAUCUGGAGGCUCAACCUCCAAACUGCAUUUGAAACUGCUUUUCUUGAGUAUCGGAGAGGUAAUCGGAAUUCCUUGUGUAGCGGUGAAAUGCGUAGAUAUAAGGAAGAACACCAGUGGCGAAGGCGGAUUACUGGACGACAACUGACGGUGAGGCGCGAAAGCGUGGGGAGCAAAC